rnacentral:rRNA from 1 species
GAUGAACGCUGGCGGCGUGCUUAACACAUGCAAGUCGAACGGAAAGGCCCAAGCUUGCUUGGGUACUCGAGUGGCGAACGGGUGAGUAACACGUGGGUGAUCUGCCCUGCACUUCGGGAUAAGCCUGGGAAACUGGGUCUCAUACCGGAUAGGACGAUGGUUAGGGUGCGGUUGUGGAAAGUUUUUUGGGUGUGGGGUGAGGUCGCGGCCUAUCGGCUUGUUGGUGGGGUAAUGGGCUACCAAGGCGUCGACGGGUAGCCGGCCUGAGAGGGUGUACGGCGACAUUGGGACUGAGAGACGGCCCAGGCUGCGACGGGAGGCAGCAGGGGGGAAUAUUGCACAAGGGGCGCCAGCCUGAUGCAGCGACGCCGCGGGGGGGAUGACGGCCUUCUGGUUGUAAACUCCUUGCGCUAGGGACGAAGCGUUUUGUGACGGUACCUGGAGAAGAAGCACCGGCUAACUACGUG